rnacentral:rRNA from 1 species
AAAUGGACGUCUAUGUACGAAAUAUCGCAACGAGUUUAAAAUUUACUGAGAAUUGCGAUUUUCCAAACGGAAAACCUAAUUUUGAUAUAAAUCUGUUCUUAAUUUUAAAACAAAUUAAAACAAAAAUAAAUUUAGCAAAUUGAAACAUCUUAGUAGCUAAACCAAAAAUCAACCGAGAUACUGUUAGUAGUGGCGAACGAAUUCAGUAAAAAGCUUAUUCUUUUUAAACGUUAUUUAAUAAUAGCCAAAGAAGGAAACCUAUUUAAAGGUAGCCCUGUAAAAUAACAUUUAAAAAGUCUUGAUACAAAGUAAAAUGACACAAGUCGUGUGUUUUUUGAAUUAUAUGGGACCACCCAUAAAAGCUAAAACUUUUGAUAAUUGAUAGUGAAAACAGUACCGUGAGGGAAUGGUGAAAAAGUAUUUGCGAAUGUGAAAAAGUUUUGAAAUUUAAUGCUAAAUAUCAGUUGAGGCUUUUAAAUUUGAUUUUAAGAGUAACAGCAUACCUUUUGUAUAAGGGAUCAACAAGUUUAUUUUAGUAGCGAGCUUAAUUAAAAAAUAAAGUAGGCAAAAAGAAAUUGAGUUUUAAAAAUUGCUUUUUUAGUUUCUGAAAUAAAACCCGAAACUGUAGUGAUCUAACCAUGAACUGGUUGAAUUUUAAGCGGAAACGCUUUCUGGAGGACCGAACCCGUAUAUGUUGAAAAAUAUUGGGAUGAUUUGUGGUUAGGGGUGAAAGGCUAAUCAAACACAGAGAUAGCUGGUUUUCUGCGAAAUCUAUUUAAGUAGUUCGUUUAAAUUCUUUAUUUUAGGGUAGAGCUCUUUUUAAAUAAUGGGGAUGUAAAGUCUUACUGAAUUUAUUAAAACUUCGAAUUUUAAAAUAAAAGAUAUUUAAGCAGACAGACAUUGGGUGCUAAGGUCCAUUGUCAAAAGGGAAACAGCCCAGAUUAUUAAUUAAGGCCCUUAAAAACAAUUAAGUGAAAAAAUUAUUAAAAAAUUAUAACAACCGAUAGGUAGGCUUGGAAGCAGCCAUCCUUUAAAGAAAGCGUAACAGCUCACUGGUCUAAAUAAGACGUCCUGCGGCGAAGAUGUAACGGGGCUCAAGCCAUGAGCCGAAGCUUAGGAUGCACAUAGUGCAUGGUAGCAGAGCGUAGUGUGACAUAGCUUCAUGUCUCCUUAGUGUCCUAGGACACAUCGGAGACACGAAGCUUUCGAUGAAGCGGGCGCGUGAGCGAUCCCGUGGAGAGAUCACUAGCGAGAAUGAUGACAUGAGUAGCGACAAAGAGUGUGAGAAACACUCUCGCCGAAAGUCCAAGGGUUCCUGCUUAAAGCUAAUCUGAGCAGGGUAAGCCGGCCCCUAAGGCGAGGCCGAAAGGCGUAGCCGAUGGGAACUAGGUUAAUAUUCCUAGGCCAGGAGGAUGUGACGGAUUGUGAAGGUAGUUCAGACUUAUCGGAUUGUCUGGGCUGCUCAGCAGUCCCUGGAAAUAGCCCUCCAUCAGACCGUACCCUAAACCGACACAGGUGGAUAGGUAGAGAAUACCAAGGCGCUUGAGAGAACUCUGCUGAAGGAACUAGGCAAAAUGGUACCGUAACUUCGGGAGAAGGUACGCUAUUGGUGGUGAUAGGACACGCUCCUUGAGCUGCUGGUAGUCGCAGAUACCAGGCUGCUGCAACUGUUUAUUAAAAACACAGCACUCUGC